GAUGAACGCUGGCGGCGUGCCUAAUACAUGCAAGUCGAGCGAACGGACGAGAAGCUUGCUUCUCUGAUGUUAGCGGCGGACGGGUGAGUAACACGUGGAUAACCUACCUAUAAGACUGGGAUAACUUCGGGAAACCGGAGCUAAUACCGGAUAAUAUUUUGAACCGCAUGGUUCAAAAGUGAAAGACGGUCUUGCUGUCACUUAUAGAUGGAUCCGCGCUGCAUUAGCUAGUUGGUAAGGUAACGGCUUACCAAGGCAGCGAUGCAUAGCCGACCUGAGAGGGUGAUCGGCCACACUGGAACUGAGACACGGUCCAGGCUCCUACGGGAGGCAGCAGUAGGGAAUCUUCCGCAAUGGGCGAAAGCCUGACGGAGCAACGCCGCGUGAGUGAUGAAGGUCUUCGGAUCGUAAAACUCUGUUAUUAGGGAAGAACAUAUGUGUAAGUAACUGUGCACAUCUUGACGGUACCUAAUCAGAAAGCCACGGCUAACUACGUG
rnacentral:rRNA from 1 species